rnacentral:lncRNA from 10 species
AGCCGUGCUCCCUGGCUUCAGGUUAAAGGCGUGGUGGCACUGAGUUAGGUUAACCGCGGGCAGAGAAGCCUGUCCCUAGCUACACUUCCCUGGUAGUUCGCAUAGUCACCUAGAAAGAUAGUGCUUUCUUGCACCCGAUGGGCUGCUUGUUCCCUCCCUGUGCCGCGCGGGGCACCCUCGGACGGCGCAUCUCGCGGCCAUUGGCUGAAAGGAAGACCGCUGGGAGGCCCAUCUUCCGGCGUCGCCCGGGCAGCGCGGCUCCGGAGCUGUCUGCCACUCUUCUCCUGGUGUUCCUUCAGCCCCGUCAGUGACGCCGCGGACGGCCUUCUUAUCCCUCGCCUGACAGCAGUGGCCUCCCCAGCUCUCUGUCCUGGCUCCUAUUCGCCUCCUGACAGCGCUGGUUGUGUUGCUUGGGGCGCCCAGGCGCGGCCGCUGCGCUGCGGAAACCCAUGCCACUCCUGGGUCAUAGUUGGAGAGGGGGGUCUUGAACUCCUGGCCUCAAGCGAUUCUCCUGCCUCGGCCUCCUAAAGUGCUGGAAUUACAGGCGAGAGCCACCGCGCCAGGCUGUUUUGUAAAUAAGUAAAAGAAUUUAGGGUUUGACUAACUUGCUCAACUUCUGCCUCAUUUUACCUGUUUCCCCUUAAACUUCUCCCCUUCCCUCCUAAGGCGCAUUUCUCCAUUAGGGUUGCGGAGCCCAAUUGCGUCCAGCUUUCUUUAGGAGCUUCUUUCUGCCUUUCUCUUGCCCUUUGUUCAGCCUUUCCUCUUACUUCAUCGUCUCCCCCUCAGCCGUCGUUAACGAGACCCUCAUGCACACUCAGUGAUAUUGACAAGAAGCAGGGUGGGGGUAAAGGCGAGGGCUCUAGAGUCUAUUUGCAUAAUUUUCAGAUUCCCACUCUGCAAUACUGAGUGAUUUGCUCAACCUAAAAAUGGAGAUAACACUUCUUCCUACCCACCCCCGACCCGCCGCCAGACAACUUUACGGUGAAGCUAAUGAAAUUUAUGUUCACUUGCAUGGGUCGCUGGGAUUUGUAGUCUAACAGGUGGGGAGUUGCAACCAGGGAGCAUUUCUCCUAAAUGCCAGAGAGCUCUUCAUUUGUUAUAAUUUACAAUUUAUUUUCUCAUUCUAAAUAACCAUCGUCAUACCUAAUUUUGUGUUCAUAAUUUUGUAAUUUUUUAAAAAUCAGAAGGCCCUUAAUGCUGUUUAAUUCCAGUCCCCACAAAACCUGGAUCUACACCUGUCUACCCUUAGAGUUGUUUUGAUAAUUAAAUAAAAUAAUAUGUGUGAAGCUCUUAGUACAGAAUGUGGGACAAAAUAUUUCUUUUCUUUUCGAGACAGAGUUUCGCUCUUGUUGCGCAG